UACUUUUUUUUUUUUUUUUUUUUUAGACAGAGUCUUGGACUGUCGCCCAGGCUGGAGUGCAGUGGCGCGAUCUUGGCUUACUGCAACCUCUGCCUCCCGCGUUCAAGCGAUUCUCCUGCCUCAGCCUCCUGAGCAGCUGGGACUGCAGGCGUGUGCCUCCAUGCCCGGCUAAUUUUUUCUAUUUUUAGUGGAGAUGGGGUUUCAUCGUGUUAGCCAGGAUGGUCUCCAUCUCCUGACCUCGUGAUCCACCCGCCUCGGCCUCCCAAAGUGCUGGGAUUACAGGGGUGGGAACCGCCAAACCUCUCCCUUCUUUUUGACUUCACCCUUGGAUACCAUCAAGGCCAGAGGAUGGAACCAAGAUAACAUAAAAUAGGUGCUCCUUUGUGAUAAUGGGCUAUUUGUAUCUCUGAGGGCUUCCACACAGGAUGGCCAUUCAAGAAGCUUCUGCUCUGCCUUUCAUUACAGUCUAUCUUUAGUCCUCCUAAACCUUCAGCUAUAAUCUCUAUGCAAUCAACUUAAAUAUAUGUUUCUAGUAUUGUCCCUUUCUCCCAAAUUCCAUGUAAAACACUUGUCUGAAUUGAAUUGUUGUUUCCACAAAGUUGUUUUCCCCUGUGGACUUUGUUUAUAUCAGUAGUUUUUAUUUUCCCAAUUUUCCAAAUUCAAGAGUGAUAUUAGAAAUAGCUGUGUUCUUGUUUGUUAUCUUUCUCACUAGAAUGUAUACUCUAAGAAGGCAAGAACCUUGCUUGCUUUAUUCAUUGUUGUAUCCCUAGCUUCUGUUACAGUGUCUGGCACAAGAGUAAGUGCUCAAUAAAAAUUUAAAAUCCAUGUGUGAAUAAAUGUGAUUACCAUGUGCCCUACCGUAUAUUGAGAAAAAUAAGAAUACAUGUGAAAAGCAUGAGAUUAAA